GAUGAAGAACGUAGCGAAAUGCGAUAAGUAAUGUGAAUUGCAGAAUUCCGUGAAUCAUCGAAUCUUUGAACGCACAUUGCGCCCCUCGGUAUUCCGGGGGGCAUGCCUGUCCGAGCGUCAUUGCUGCCCUCAAGCACGGCUUGUGUGUUGGGCCUCCGUCCUCCUCCCGGGGGACGGGCCCGAAGGGCAGCGGCGGCACCGCGUCCGGUCCUCGAGCGUAUGGGGCUUCGUCACCCGCUCUUGUAGGCCCGGCCGGCGCUUGCCGACACAUCAAUCUUUUUUCCAGGUUGACCUCGGAUCAGGUAGGGAUACCCGCUGAACUUAAGCAUAUCAAUAAGCGGAGGA
rnacentral:misc_RNA from 1 species